rnacentral:rRNA from 1 species
GACGAACGCUGGCGGCGUGCUUAACACAUGCAAGUCGAACGGAAAGGCCCUGCUUUUGUGGGGUGCUCGAGUGGCGAACGGGUGAGUAACACGUGAGUAACCUGCCCUUGACUUUGGGAUAACUUCAGGAAACUGGGGCUAAUACCGGAUAGGAGCUCCUGCUGCAUGGUGGGGGUUGGAAAGUUUCGGCGGUUGGGGAUGGACUCGCGGCUUAUCAGCUUGUUGAUGGGGUAGUGGCUUACCAAGGCUUUGACGGGUAGCCGGCCUGAGAGGGUGACCGGCCACAUUGGGACUGAUAUACGGCCCAGACUCCUACGGGAGGCAGCAGUGGGGAAUAGUGCACAAUGGGCGGAAGCCUGAUGCAGCAACGCCGCGUGCGGGAUGACGGCCUUCGGGUUGUAAACCGCUUUCGCCUGUGACGAAGCGUGAGUGACGGUAAUGGGUAAAGAAGCACCGGCUAACUACGUG